CCUACGGGAGGCAGCAGUAAGGAAUAUUGGACAAUGCUCGCAAGAGUGAUCCAGCCAUGCCGCGUGCAGGAAGAAUGCCCUAUGGGUAGUAAACUGCUUUUGAACUAGAGAAAACCCCAGUACGUGUACUGGGCUGAUAGUAUAGUUAGAAUAAGCAUCGGCUAACUUCGUGCCAGCAGCCGCGGUAAGACGAAGGAUGCAAGCGUUAUCCGGAUUCAUUGGGUUUAAAGGGAGCGUAGGUGGACUGAUAAGUCAGUGGUGAAAUCUCCGAGCUUAACUCGGAAAUUGCCAUUGAUACUGUUGGUCUUGAGUACAGUUGCUGUGGGCGGAAUAUGACAUGUAGUGGUGAAAUACAUAGAGAUGUCAUAGAACACCGAUUGCGAAGGCAGCUCACAAAGCUAGUAACUGACACUGAGGCUCGAAAGUGCGGGGAUCAAACAGGAUUAGAUACCCUGGUAGUCCGCACCGUAAACGAUGAUUACUCGCUGCUAGGGGGCAACCGUUUAGUGGCUUAGCGAAAGCGAUAAGAAUCCACCUGGGGAGUACGCCGGCAACGGUGAAACUCGAAAGGAUUAGACGG
rnacentral:rRNA from 1 species